CUUCUUCUCGGUGUACACGUGUAUUCUUCGAAUAAUUUUCAUACAAUUAACGGGAGAGAAAUCAUUGCAAUGGACUCAACGUUUUCUAAUCUACUAUUUAUCUAAAUACUUCCUUGUAAACUGAAUAAGGACAAAAAGGAAACGUAAUGCUAUUAUCUCGGUACACGGUAAGAAGACUUCAAAGUUCAUUUUCUACAUUUUUAUUCUUGGCAUGUUGACUU